rnacentral:sRNA from 1 species
UCGCGGGUGCACCGCCGACCGAC